UGCAUUCACUACUGUAAGUCGCUCUGGAUAAGGGCGUCUGCUAAAUGACAAAAA
rfam:Salmo salar isolate Sally breed double haploid chromosome ssa13, whole genome shotgun sequence.